GGAAUAUUGCGCAAUGGGCGAAAGCCUGACGCAGCAACGCCGCGUGAGUGAUGAAGGCCUUCGGGUCGUAAAGCUCUGUCGGAGGGAACGAAUGCUUCCGGGGUUAACAGCCCCGGAAAUUGACGGUACCCUCCAAGGCAGCACCGGCUAACACUGUGCCAGCAGCCGCGGUAAGACAGAGGGUGCAAGCGUUGUUCGGAAUUAUUGGGCGGAAAGGGCGUGUAGGCGGUUUGUUAAGUCAUGUGUGAAAGCCCUCGGCUCAACCGAGGAAUGACGCAUGAAACUGGCAAGCUAGAGUACCAAAGAGGGGGGUGGAAUUCCCGGUGUAGCGGUGAAAUGCAUAGAUAUCGGGAGGAACACCCGUGGCGAAGGCGGCCCCCUGGUUGGAUACUGACGCUGAGACGCGAAAGCGUGGGGAGCAAAC
rnacentral:rRNA from 1 species